CAGCCCCAGGUAGGCCCUCAGAGGCCCAGGUGGGGAGGAGUCUGCUAACUGGAGGACCAGGGCAGCUCCCCACCCACGCACACACCUCCUGGGCGUGGGCUGCCCAGCCUGCCCCUCCCGGGGCCUCCCACUCCAGCCAGGCUCAAAACGCUCCUCAAAAGCGCCAGCACAUGCCAGCCUCCAGGCCCCGACCGGGCAGUGCCCUCUGCUGGAACGCCGGAGGUCUGGCCGGGGCCGUCGGUGGCUUAGGAUGAAUGUUCCCAGGCUUCAGCCCCCUUCGCCCACGGCCUGUUUCCUCCCGGACGAACUGAGCGAACAACCCCGAACAUCUAUUGAGCGCCGGUUGCAUGCUGAGCGUUCAACCUGCUUCCUCAAAGUUCGUCCUCCCAACAGCCCACAAUGAGUGGGUAAACUGAGGAUUCUGUCAGUACGAGCAAGGCUCCCGACACAUCUGUGGAUAUCGAGAGUCACGACUGGGGUUGACCUCAGUGGGUUUGCCCCAUGAGGAAGAGGACCACAGCUUUUACAGACACCAGCCCAGAGUGGUUAGCAAAAAGCCCGGAGUGCAGCACAACCCCGGUGGAGAACAGCUUGGUGGUUCCUCAACAGGUUAAACAUCAAGUCACCACAUGAUCCAGUAAUCCACUCCUAGGUAGAGACCCAAAAGAACUGAAAACAGGUGUGCAAACUAAAACUUGUACAUGCGCGUUUACAGCAGCACUAGUUACAAUCACCAAAAGGUGGAAACAACCCGUGCCCACCAACUAAUGAAGAUAAAGUGUG
rnacentral:lncRNA from 1 species